UACGUAGGGUGCAAGCGUUAAUCGGAAUUACUGGGCGUAAAGAGCUCGUAGGCGGUCUGUCGCGUCGGCUGUGAAAACCCGGGGCUCAACCCCGGGCCUGCAGUCGAUACGGGCAGACUAGAGUGCGGUAGGGGAGACUGGAAUUCCUGGUGUAGCGGUGAAAUGCGCAGAUAUCAGGAGGAACACCGGUGGCGAAGGCGGGUCUCUGGGCCGUAACUGACGCUGAGGAGCGAAAGCGUGGGGAGCGAACAGG
rnacentral:rRNA from 1 species